rnacentral:snRNA from 1 species
GUGCUCCCUUUGGCAGCACAAAUACUAAAAUUGGAAUGAUACAGAGAUUAGCAUGACCCCUGUGCAAGGAUGACAUACAAAUUUGUGAAUCAUUUCAUAUUUUU